CACUGGUGUUUCGCGGCGGGCCGCCGUCCGGCCGAAGACGACAUCCACGUCUGGAACGAGUAUAUGCGCAAGGUCGGCUGGAACGACGAGACGAGCGACACGCUCUCCCGCCGCAAGAAAGAAGCAGGCAUGGCCGGUCGAUCCGAGAUCCGCACCAUGUUCGAGUUCAUCGACGUCGACGAAGGGCGCUCGCUGCCCGAGGCGCUCGGCGUCGAGCGGAAACAGCCCGUCAACGUGAUGUGAUCGGCGCAGCUACGGCUGCGGCGGCGCGCUGUGAACCGGG
rnacentral:misc_RNA from 1 species